GUGAGGUCCGCCGUCCACGUAUUACUCGCCGCUGCUGCGUUGCCGGCCCCGCCUGAAGGCGAGCUCGUCAAGGCCCCGAUGCUGUUCCGACGGAUCCGUGAGUGAGCACCUGCUCUUCCGCGUGUGUCGCCGGGGUUUCCUGUGAGCGUUCCAUCGACGGGGAUGUUGGUCACCGUGGCGAUCGGGCCACUGGUGUAGGGAAAUAUUGUUGAUACACUGCUUCGUCGAGCUAACAAUGCAGAUCUCGCCGUUGUACCCAUCGUUGGAGUGGGGGACCUUGGCAAGACCACAAUUGAUAGCGCAGCUCAUAUAAAAUGGAAUUCAGAAGCAUUCCCAGUUGCUGCUCUGGGUCUGUGUGUCUGAUAACUUUGAUUUGAAUUCCAUGGCUAAGAGUAUAGGUGGAGCAUCUUCCAAUAAGAAUGAGGAUACAGACAAACCACCACUGGGCAGACGACAGAAGUUGGUCAGUCAGCAGAGGUAUCGCAUCGUGUUGGAUGGUGUAGAGAGGUCCGUAAGUGGGAAAGGCGUGGUAGUACACCAACUCGUGAUAAACGAGUUGCUGAAAUAAUAGGCGCAGGACUGCAGAUACAGCCCACAAUCUCAGUGUUUUGGAGGAUAGCUUAAUAACAGAAAUUAGUGAGGCUACAUCAUUUAGUUCAAAGAAAGAAAAGCCUGCCGGGGAAGAUAGUCUUGAAACCAUGACAAAUCACAUCUUUUAUGAGAUGGCCUCGAGGCUAUGUUUUCUAGACGUAGAUGAAUUUAAAUUUGAUGACGGCAAUGAGUGUUAUUCGGAACUACAUGCAUAAUCCGUGACCUUAUGCGUGAUACUGCAAUGUUUAUUAAGGAGAAAUAAUGCGUUGUUGCAACUUUGGGGCCAAUUCAGAUCAUAUACUUCAUCUUUCGAACCAAAUCUGCAUUCUUGAAAACAGGAAGAAGGCGGUGCUGGAAGAACAAACAACGGUGCUUAUCGUGGCUAGGAUGCGGAUUCGUAUUGAAGAAGAGCGAUUUGGUUCUGAAGAUGAAGUAUAUGAUUGAAUUGGUUCCUUAGUUGCAACAGCACAUUCUAUUUCCAUAAUGGACAUUGCAAUAUCAUGCAUAAGAUCAUGGAUUUUGCAUGUAGUUCUGGAAAAAUACUCUCUAACGUCAUUAAAUUUAAAAAAUCAUCUAUGUCCAAAAAGAAUGACCUUGAGGAUAACUCAUCAAAAAUAUUCUUUCCAAUGGUUUUGAAACUAUCUUUCUUGCUUUCAUGGAUAAAGCUAUUUACGAUCCAUAGUUGGAUCAGCUUAUCCACAUCAAUCUUGUAAUCCGUGGGAAAUAAAACACAAAAAGCGAAACACUGCUUUAUGUGUGAUGGCAAGUCGUUGUAGCUAAGCUUUAGCAUUGGCAAGUUUCCUCGGUGCAAAUCUUGCUUCUAGAUGAUAUAGCCUUCCGUUCACCCACACUCAUUUCGGUAUGAAGUAGAGCCUACUAUGAUUACUGCUGAAGGACUCACAUAGCAUCUCUUGACAAUCUCACCAACCAUCUUGACUAGCUCGGCACGCUUUUCUUUCUUCAAACUAAAUGCUCCAGCCUCAAUAAUUUCCUUUAUGAAGCUAUCCUCCAAAACAUUGAUAUUGUAGUCUGCACCCGUUAUUUCAGCAACUCGUUUAUCACGAAUUGUUGUCAACACUGCACUAACACUUUCAACCAUCAUGAAGAGGCAAACACUGCUAUGGGUAGUUUUAUGGAAUGUUCAUUGCAGAAUCUGUCAAAAUACAGGUCUUUGCAUGCCUUGAAGCUCAGUAUGCAAAUAUAACCAUUUCUACUAAGACCAAAGUAUCUGCGUCUCCUGAUGUACCUUGAGCUCAUUCUAUCCAAGCACUUCAUAACCUGCAAAUGUUGGACCUUUCCCACUGCUCUUGUCUUGAUUGACUUCCGAGGCAAAUGAAGUAUAUGGCUUCCGUACUCACCUCUACACUCAUGGAUGUACGGAGUUAAAAAUCAUGCCUCCAAAAGUAGGAAGACUCACUAAGCUGCAGACUCUUACCUGCUUUGUAGCGGCAGUUAUGCGCCAGUGAUGUUGCAGAUCUUGAGCAUUUAAACCUUGGUGGUCAGCAACUAGAGCUAUAUCAGGUAGAGAAUAUUGCUAUAGAAGCAGAGGCAAGAGUGGCAAAUCUUGGAAACAAGAAGGAUUCAGAGAACUGACAUUAAGAUGGUCUUCUGUUCGUGACAGCAAGGUGCUCACAAUUUCGAACCUCAUGAUAGGCUGCAAGUUCUGAAGAUAUAUUCUUAUGGAGGAAAGUGCAUGGGUAUGUUGCAAAACAUGGUUGAAAUCCAUCGUUUUCAUUGUGAAAUAUUACCAGUUUUGUUCAGUUGUGAUCUUUCACCUGUCCAAAACUGAAGCAGCUUACGCUAGAACAUCUGGUGGAUUCUGAGAGAUGGUGGGAAGUAAAUGAGAGGCAAGAACAGAUAUAGUUGGUAUGCUUGAGAAGUUGUUUGUUAGAUAUUGUGGGUGGCUAUAGUGGGAAAUAAAUGAAACCAGAAUCUCCCUCUUACAGUUAUGAAAUGCGAAUGCUGCAACUCAUUCUUUGGAUCAAGUGCACUACAGCCGUGGAACUAUUUUGUGCAUCUUGAAGAUUUGGAAAUUGAUACAUGUGUUGUUCUUGUCCACUGGCCAGAGAAAGAUGUACCACAGGUGAACAACGGCUUGUAAUUAAAGGCUGUCAUGCUAUAAAGAAGCUCCUUAGAUGCCUGCAGCAGCAACUGGGCAGCAUCAACAUGAAAAAUCUUGAUUUUCAUUAUGAAGUAAUGGAAUCUGAACAAUUUAAACUGAAGAGAUGGAAGGAAAUACCAAGACUAGUCCGUGAGAGGUGGCCCUGCCAAAAUUGAAGGAUAUUCAGCUUUCUUUUCGGGGAGAACCUCAAAAGGCUGGACACUACUGCAAUUCAUAUAGGAGAAUAGUGUGCCUAGCUAACAAAAUUGAAUGCACUAUGUUAUGUCAAGAUUUGUUAUGGCCUUUGUCGAACUGUGAUCUUUUAUCUUCUUCAUAUGUUUGUAAUGUGAUUAUAUCUCCUUCAAUAUCUUUGUCCGGACAUUGACCCUUAACUUCUUCA